UACGAAGGGUGCAAACGUUGCUCGGAAUUAUUGGGCGUAAAGCGCACGUAGGCGGCUUUGCAAGUCCCAUGUGAAAUCCCACGGCUCAACCGUGGAAGUGCAUGGGAAACUGCAGAGCUUGAGUACUUAAGAGGAUCGCGGAAUUCCCGGUGUAGAGGUGAAAUUCGUAGAUAUCGGGAGGAACACCGGUGGCGAAGGCGGCGACCUGGGUAGAUACUGACGCUGAGGUGCGAAAGCGUGGGGAGCAAACAGG
rnacentral:rRNA from 1 species